rnacentral:tRNA from 1 species
GAUAAAUUAGUUAAUCUCUAUAAUAUAAAAUUGUCAAUUUUAAGUAAAAUUUAUCU